rnacentral:lncRNA from 1 species
CAAAAAAAUUAUGUCACCCUUUUCUACAGCUCAUCAUGCUUGUAUGUGAAUUCCCUUGCAGAUAUAAACCCAUCACUGUCUUCAUCUUCUUUAUCAAAUAUGUCCUCAACCAAAGCAUCAUGCUGGGUGUCAUUUACCACUGCUCCAUGCUUCUCAAAUUCUUUCUUCAAGUAAAUUUUCACCUCUUGCUUGGACAGCUUCCAGUCGUCAUUAAGAUCCAUCUCUUGAAAUGACUCAUGAGACCUGGGUCCAUUCCUAAUUUCUAGAAGGUCAAUAUUGAAUAUCAAUGUGCUCUCAGGUGGAAUUUUUCCUUUCCCUUCUUUUCCAUAAGCAAGGGCUGGUGGAAUCGUUAGCUUCCGCUUCUCUCCCACACACAUGUCCUUCAAACCUUUGUCCCAGCCUUUGAUGGCUUCUCUUAUGCCAAGUGUAAACCACAUAGGUUGGCCAUUGUUAUGUUUGUGCGUGGAGUGGAACAUGGAGCCGUCGCUCUGCAGGAAGCCCUCGUAGUGCACCAGCAUCAUGUCCCCCCACUUGGUCCUCCGGUGGCACAGGAACGGCUUCUGCAGCACCUCCACCUUCACGUCGGCCGCGGGGAUGAGGGCCGCGGCCGCGCAGCCCAGCAGGGCGCCCAGCAGGACGGCCCUCAGCACCGCCAUCCCGCCCCGCCGCCGGACCCAGCGCCCACCUCAGCGCCGCGGGGCCACCAUGGCCCGCCAGCUGCCGGCAGCACGGCGGCCGCCCGGCCCGGCCAACCCGCAGACGUGGCAGAGGCUCUCCCGGCUGGCAGACCCCGACUUCGUGCCG